UCACAGGUCUUAAAUUUUGUGGUGGCAGGACUCUGUCAUACAUUCUACAUAAUUUAAUUUCCUUGCAGGAUUUUGCUAUCGAGGAAACAUUUAGUCGUGCCCAGACAUCUUCAUUGCUUUCUGAGGCUCCCACUAACUAGCUGCUAGCAUGCAUGUGCUAUCUAGAAAACUAGUGUAAAUUUAUCACUAGUUUGCUGAAGGAUGUUUGUCUUAGCCUCUGGCUCAUUUCUGUUGCCUCUCCAUAUGUCCAUUCAGUGCAAAAUAAUUAAGCAUUACUACGAUGUAAAAUAUUUAGUUUUCUUUUGUACAUUUGUGUCAUGAUACAGAUCUUAAAUUGUAUUCAUAAUGGUCUUAAAAAGAUCUUAAACCUACAGAAACUGUUUAUUUAUUAUCAGAUUGAGCUUCUGCUCCAGAUUCACAGCCACAUUCUGGGUUAAAGGAUGAAAGCAGGACCUUCAGACUAGCAGUAAACACUGAUCAACAUUCACUUUGUCAGUCGUUGGCCCCUGCAAAGAGUGACGCAGAAUUUCCCUCUACAUAAACACAUGAACACCAGACAGCAGACGCUGCAGAGAAGCUGCUGUUAGAUGUUAACAUCUGGAAUGGUUGAACUGGAGACCUAAAAUCUCUCCUCCAGGAUGACUCUAGCAGGCUUUGCCAUCCAGGCGUACCGUGGAGCCCAGAAGCCGACUCCCAUGGAGGUGAUGAAGUCGCAGGCCACGCGGCUGGCUGACAACCCCCAGAGGGUGUCCCCGCCCAAAAUGGAGAUCCCCACGGUGGAGGGCCGGCGGCAGGGAGCGCGGCCACACAAGCUCAAACACCGAGACAUGAACAUCCUGACGCCGUCCGGCUUCUGAGACAAUCGCCGUUAAUACGACCAAGGUCCCACGACAUGACAAAACCACCCUAGAGUCCCUCAUUUUACUGUUCACAUUCCCUUAUUGUUCAGGUUCAACAGAAACAUGAGUCUUACCGUUUCCAAAGAAAUUCUUUUUGUGCUUGCUGCUCAUUUGAUGUUUAUAUUUUCUAUAUAUCAUUAAUAAAAUAAACUCCAGUCAGACUGAAAGCAUUUUAAACCCCCCUAAGUUUUAUUUAUUUAUUCAGGAGGAAUUCAAAAUUUAUUGAAAUCCAUUGAGUUUGUAACUUCAUGUGAGAAUUGUGACCAUCUAUCAUAACUGUAACGUCAAACAAGUGGGUAGCUGAACUCCAGCUGAAGGAUUUUCAGAACCAGAGCUCUAAAGUUCAGCCGUUCGGCAGCUCAGACUGGGUUCAUGCUAGAACAUAUAGCUUCAGUUUGCUAAUCUGUAAAAAUAAUGUUAAAUAUUUUCUUCUCUCAUGUUUUUGGUUUAUGUCGCCUUGUUUAUUAUGUUGAUCAUUUUUAACCAGCUUUUUUUGUUUGUUUUACAAAAAAUAGCUAGCAUGAAAAACAUUGUUUCACCUUAGGAUUAAUUCACCCUCGUUUCAUCCCUUCCUGCUUCACACUCAUGUACAUUACUCAUUUUUGGUUGUUUAUAUUUUUAGUCAAGUAUUUUCAUGAAUAAUGCAGAUAAAUGUGCAUAAAAAGUCAAAUCACAUGUAAAAUGUAAUCUAAUUCCGCUUUAUUUCAUCUUAUUUCCAUUAAUCCUUAUGAAAUAUGACAUCAAUGCUCCGAUCAAACCAAAAUAACUCAGAGAAACUUUUUAUGUUGGAUGUUAUUUGAGUCACAUUUCCUGAGCAUUAGAGCCGUUGCAGAUGAAAGAUGAAAUGAAAGACAUAAUGUGGCCAAACUCAGAAAUUCUUAUAUUAUCUUCACAUAUUUAUGAGAAAACAAUUAGAUAUUCUCCAAUGUUGAAUGUAGAAUGCUAACACAGGAAAAAAAUUAAGUAAUUCUACACGAUUAAGGCAUAAAUUGUGAUAAUUAAGCUGAUGUAUUUGCUGACUUUAUGUAAUCAGACAUAUGCUACAGAAAAUGCAACAAUUGUACAUUUUUCCUGUAUGUGAACAUCUCCAGUGUUCAGACUCAAUGCAGCUUCCCUCAUACUGUAGAGUUUGUAGUUUUCUGAGCUCAAACUUCUUGUAAAGAAAUUUGAAAUUUUCACAAAUUGAACUCACUUUUCUCCAUUAUUUUUACUGACGACUGCAUUUGAAGGAUUUUGUUUUUUACGUUUUUUGGACUUUAAAAACUGCUGUGUGUAUUUUCUGCAUCUCACAGAAACCUUGUCACUUAUUUUAUAUAUAUAUAUAUUUAAACACUUCAAAUAUUUUCUCCCUAAAUAACAAACUAUGGCCUUACUGCCAAGUUAUCUUAAUUUAGGCAAGUUAUUUGCUGUGCUGCCUGGUUUGCAGAUGAUGGCUAACAUAAUAUAUAAAAGUUUCUGUAAGAUUACACGUGCAAAGCAUCUUCAUUAAGCACUUUUGACCAUAAAGUGAACCUUUUUUCUUCUUAUUACUAUUUUCUGGUAAUAAAAUAAAAUAAAUCCUGAAAGUUUACCACUUGUAACUGCUGUGGUGAUAUUCAGAUGCUGUCAUUCUGUGUGGUCACUAACUGUUGAUAUUUGAUGUACUUUCCAUUUGUUAAAGAUGAGUCUAUAGUACUUGUGUUUACAGGUGCUCAGUGGUCAGUGUGAUACUCUCCCCCUUUAAUCAGACUGAAGCAUCAGUUUAAUGUUCUGUCUGUAGGCAUGACUCAGUCCUGAUAGAAAGUUUCUGUCAGUUCAGUGAUUUUUAUUUUAUAUUUCUUUUCGAUUUUUUUUCUUUUUUACUGUCUGUACAGUUUAGUUCACGUUGCUGGCACAGUUUGACAAUAAAUAUUUCAUCCUCUGUGGAAAAU